CUUGAUCGAGCCGAGCCACAGCGGCUGGCCCGCAUCGCGUCCGCGGCCGUAGACGGCCAGCAGCGCGCCGGCCUC
rnacentral:antisense_RNA from 1 species